rnacentral:rRNA from 1 species
CAGCAGCCACGGUAAUACGAAGGGUGCAAGCGUUAAUCGGAAUUACUGGGCGUAAAGCGCGCGUAGGUGGUUCAUUAAGUUGGAUGUGAAAGCCCUGGGCUCAACCUGGGAACUGCAUCCAAAACUGGUGAGCUAGAGUACGGUAGGGGGUAGUGGAAUUUCCUGUGUAGCGGUGAAAUGCGUAGAUAUAGGAAGGAACACCAGUGGCGAAGGCGACUACCUGGACUGAUACUGACACUGAGGUGCGAAAGCGUGGGGAGCAAACAGGAUUAGAUACCCCCGUAGUCCCUGUCUCUUAUAC